rnacentral:piRNA from 1 species
UACAGAACAAAUGAGGUGUUACAGUA